rnacentral:tRNA from 1 species
GGGGCCGUGGCGCAGCUGGGAGCGCGCCUGAAUCGCACUCAGGAGGUCACGGGUUCGAAUCCCGUCGGCUCCACCA